rnacentral:misc_RNA from 1 species
CUCAGAGACGCAUAGAGCUCACUCAAGGUUAAUCGAAGAUGGUGCAGCGACUUACUUACCGUAAGCGCCACAGCUACGCUACCAAAUCCAAUCAGCACCGCGUUGUCAAAACCCCUGGUGGAAAGUUGAUCUAUCAAACCACCAAAAAGAGAGCCAGCGGCCCCAAAUGUCCUGUUACCGGGAAGAGAAUCCAGGGGAUUCCGCACUUGAGGCCUGCUGAAUACAAGAGAUCUAGACUGGCUAGGAACCGUAGAACUGUUAAUCGGGCAUAUGGUGGUGUGUUGUCAGGAAGUGCUGUAAGAGAGAGGAUUAUUCGGGCAUUUCUAGUAGAAGAGCAGAAGAUUGUGAAAAAGGUAUUGAAAAUCCAAAAGGCAAAGGAAAAGUUAGCUUCCAAGAGUUAAAAUAUGAUUAGGUAAAAAGAAGGGGAUAAAAGAAACAACCAUGGAACUGCUCCGGUUUAGAAUUGUUUUGUGUUGAAUUUAAGAAUUUUAGUGUUGAUAGCGGGUAGGUGUUUCUUCUUUUGCUUAAUUGGUCGAUCAUCACAUUUUAAUUCUUCACUUUGUUGACAAAUCAAUUCCCGAGGUCUUGUUUUGAAAUAUUGUGUAUCUACUAUGACAAUGUUGGGAUGUUAUUUAAACUCCCUUUCUAAAGGCUUUUGUAUUAUGUUGCUGAAUCUUAUACGAUAUAUCUUGUUGGGUUAGGAAAGGUACAGAAACUUUUUUGAGUUGAUAGUUUUUCUUCACCCCUAAUGAAAGUAGAGCCGCCGGAAACAAACAGAGUUAAGUCACCAGUAGUUGAG